rnacentral:tRNA from 1 species
UAGAGGUAGUGAUUUAAUGUAAAACAGUGGCUUUGGGGGCCAAAGAGCUUUGACUAUGGAGCCUUUAG